rnacentral:rRNA from 1 species
UACGAAGGGGGCUAGCGUUGCUCGGAAUCACUGGGCGUAAAGCGCACGUAGGCGGAUUGUUAAGUCAGGGGUGAAAUCCUGGAGCUCAACUCCAGAACUGCCUUUGAUACUGGCGAUCUUGAGUCCGGGAGAGGUGAGUGGAACUGCGAGUGUAGAGGUGAAAUUCGUAGAUAUUCGCAAGAACACCAGUGGCGAAGGCGGCUCACUGGCCCGGUACUGACGCUGAGGUGCGAAGGUCAGGGGAGCAAACGGG